GUGGGGAAUAUUGGACAAUGGGCGCAAGCCUGAUCCAGCCAUACCGCGUGGGUGAAGAAGGCCUUCGGGUUGUAAAGCCCUUUUGUUGGGAAAGAAAUCCUGUCGGUUAAUACCUGGCGGGGAUGACGGUACCCAAAGAAUAAGCACCGGCUAACUUCGUGCCAGCAGCCGCGGUAAUACGAAGGGUGCAAGCGUUACUCGGAAUUACUGGGCGUAAAGCGUGCGUAGGUGGUGGUUUAAGUCCGUUGUGAAAGCCCUGGGCUCAACCUGGGAAUUGCAGUGGAUACUGGAUCACUAGAGUGUGGUAGAGGGAUGCGGAAUUUCUGGUGUAGCAGUGAAAUGCGUAGAGAUCAGAAGGAACAUCCGUGGCGAAGGCGGCAUCCUGGGCCAAAACUGACACUGAGGCACGAAAGCGUGGGGAGCAAACAGGAUUAGAUACCCUUGUAGUCC
rnacentral:rRNA from 1 species